rnacentral:rRNA from 1 species
ACAUCCACGGAAGUUUUCAGAGAUGAGAAUGUGCCUUCGGGAACCGUGAGACAGGUGCUGCAUGGCUGUCGUCAGCUCGUGUUGUGAAAUGUUGGGUUAAGUCCCGCAACGAGCGCAACCCUUAUCCUUUGUUGCCAGCGAUUAGGUCGGGAACUCAAAGGAGACUGCCAGUGAUAAACUGGAGGAAGGUGGGGAUGACGUCAAGUCAUCAUGGCCCUUACGACCAGGGCUACACACGUGCUACAAUGGCGCAUACAAAGAGAAGCGACCUCGCGAGAGCAAGCGGACCUCAUAAAGUGCGUCGUAGUCCGGAUUGGAGUCUGCAACUCGACUCCAUGAAGUCGGAAUCGCUAGUAAUCGUGGAUCAGAAUGCCACGGUGAAUACGUUCCCGGGCCUUGUACACACCGCCCGUCACACCAUGGGAGUGGGUUGCAAAAGAAGUAGGUAGCUUAACCUUCGGGAGGGCGCUUACCACUUUGUGAUUCAUGACUGGGGUGAAGUCGUAACAAGGUAACCGUAGGGGAACCUGCGGUUGGA